rnacentral:rRNA from 1 species
GACGAACGCUGGCGGCGCGCCUAACACAUGCAAGUCGAACGAGCGAGAGAGAGCUUGCUUUCUCGAGCGAGUGGCGAACGGGUGAGUAACGCGUGAGGAACCUGCCUCAAAGAGGGGGGCAACAGUUGGAAACGACUGCUAAUACCGCAUAAGCCCACGACCCGGCAUCGGGUAGAGGGAAAAGGAGCAAUCCGCUUUGAGAUGGCCUCGCGUCCGAUUAGCUAGUUGGUGAGGUAACGGCCCACCAAGGCGACGAUCGGUAGCCGGACUGAGAGGUUGAACGGCCACAUUGGGACUGAGACACGGCCCAGACUCCUACGGGAGGCAGCAGUGGGGAAUAUUGCACAAUGGGGGAAACCCUGAUGCAGCGACGCCGCGUGGAGGAAGAAGGUCUUCGGAUUGUAAACUCCUGUUGUUGAGGAAGAUAAUGACGGUACUCAACAAGGAAGUGACGGCUAACUACGUG